rnacentral:lncRNA from 1 species
AGCGUAUCGGUUGUCUUGGUGAGGAAUAUAGAUCGGAUUACUUAGGGGAAAAGGGUGUUUGGCGCUGUGGCUCCGGUGAGCCACAGAUGGACACGGUGCUGGCAGAAAAAAGUUAGAGCGACUUUGAUAUGUGGCCGCGGAAAGUUGGUGGAGAAGAAUUCGAAGCCUUGUGGGUGGGGGUAACAGGAGUAACGGAACGUUAGACGCCAGAAGAAAGCCAUGGGAGCGUCUGGGAGUGACCACUGAAAAUGACAACAGUUGUCCUUAAGGCCAUAUAGAGAGGCAAAGGAAAGGAAACAAGCAGUAUGUGGGCCAGAGAGAAUGAUAGUGGUGCUUAGUGGAAUUAAUAGAAUGCGUAAAGGAAGAGGGGGUUUUUUGGUUUGUAAAGUCUUCUUAUUUAUUUUAAAGUAUUUUCAGCUGCUUUUUAAGGCUCACAAAAUAAUGUACAAAAGAAAAUUGACACAGGCAGAAAAAAAACAAGAGGAGGAAACCUCAGGUAACCUUUUUCACAACCAGGGCUUGACUUUAAUCCCAGCAUGCAUUACAGGAAUACUUUGAAAUGUGUUUUACGUCUCUGUUCUGCUUUCCUAACAUUUUCCUCCUCCUUUCUCUUGUGUCUGCCUCCUUGACAGUCUAAGCAAGGUCUACUUUUCUUAACAACAAGAGAGUUCAUUUACUUUUUCUAAAGAAAAGAAGUUAGAAUAUGCAAUAUGAAUAUGGUGACGUUGCACCUUAGAUUGGCAGCAAGAUGCCGAAGGGGUAGAUUGAAGAGAAGUGCCUUAGAGCAUGAGUAAGAUGCCAGUUGUGCUGAGGUGAUUUACAGUGCAAUCCUAUGCAGGUUUACUCCAAAGGCCUCUUAGGUUCACUGGGACAUAGUUCCCAGUGAAUGUGUAUAAGCUUGUGUCUUAAUGCCCAGAAUAGGAUAUAAACUCUGGUAUAAAAAAGAUCAGGGAAAUAUUCUGUUGCAGAACGACAGUCUAGAAAGCAGAAUUAGAAUGCCAAUAAAUGGAAUCUCUGAAAGGACCCCCUCUUAAUGACUGGGGUUUUACUACAGAAUAAUAAAAUCCAGAGGUUGAACGAUAGUGCUCAUUGCAGGAUGACAGAAGCACGACAUAUCUUUAAAGUUUUCAACAGUGACAUGAUAGUUAGAUGACAUUUCACAAGCACAAUCCUUGCACUAUUAUAGUAGAUAGGUGGGAGCUGUCUAGGGUUGCAAAUGCCCAUCCCUGAGAUGCAACCCAUCAUUGUGAAGCUGUUGGAGAAGUGUUCUCCAAUAGGGAGUGCAUAUGAUGCUGAGAAGAAAGUUCCAUGGAAUUGGAUAUAAUUGAACAGGUGGCAAAGCUAAAGUGGGUGCAGCUAUAAAUGAGAGACUGUAAAGAAAAGAAAGUGCUAAAGUGUAAGGAAGGUACAGUGCUCUGGUUGGAAGCAGGAUGCUUCCAAAUGCCAGUUGCUGGAAACUUCAGGAGUGGAGAGGAUUGUUGCACUCACUUCCUAGUUGCUGGCUUCCCACAGCCAACUGGUUGGCCACUGUGAAAACAGGAUAGUGGACUAGAUGGGCCAAUGGCUUGAUCCAGCAGGGCUGUUCUUCCCCGAAUGGGAAGAUUGUGGAAAAAGUGAGCGAAAGCUGUGCUGAAAGCUAUGAAACAACUGCAAAGACAGCUUUGUAAACUGCAGAGGAGAUUUGAUGGGAAACAGUUGGAAUUAUAAGGAGAAGGUUAUUGGUAUAUGUUGGAACUGACGGAAUGUAAAAGAAUAUGCUCCAAGGAAUGAAUACUGUAAGAUGUGGGUUAAUUUUGAGCAAGGAGCAUGAUACAAAGGGUUUUUUAAAAUUAACUAAUUGCCAAGCUAUGGCAGCUACACAGACAAAUGACCGCUGUGGUGUUAAGCACCAGUGAGCUGUCGUUUUAGUGCCAAUAACUGGUGAAAAUGAACACAAUGGGCUAGUGACCCUUUACCAUAUGUAUCUAGUUCUGAGCUCCACAGCAUUCUCUUCUAAGAAGUAUUUGAACUUUAGAAGUUCGUUUUGCUAUCUCUUCUCCUCUGAAAACUGUUAUUCUUCUUGUAGGACUCUGGACACUGUAACUUCACAUGAAAAAGUAAAAGUUGUUGUGGUGUCCCAUCGUUUUAAAAAAUCCAAAAUUAGGGCAGUUGGGUUGGCCUAAUAAAAGGCACUUCCCUAAAUAUGGGUUUUGUACCUCCACAUGUUUCUUCUCGAACAUUAAAGAAAACAUAUUCAUAAGCACACAGUUGCACACUUGCAUUUUGUGAGAAGGUUCUAGUUUGUUCUUUAUUCCAGUAUAGCAGCUGAAAUAUGUAUACACAAUGUACACACAAUGUGUAACCCGUAGUGCAGCCAGAUUAGUAAGGUACACUGCAUUCAUUUAUUUGUUUGUGUUUGUAGACCACUUCCACUGAUAAUGUAGAACAAAUAACCACACUUAAACCAAAUACCAUAAAACUGUAGCACCAUCUAUGUACAGAGUGCUUUACAAUGAGCAGCUUUGACAGGUCCCUUCUCCAAGGGCUUAUGAUCUAUAAAUAGAGAAAAGGGAGAGAACAAAUGAAGGGGGGAGGAAUGGAGGCAGGGGAAAACAGGAAAACAAUAUGCUAUUAUUUCUGUUAUGCUUACUUUGGCUUAGUUGAGUUGUCCUUCUGUAAUCCUCAAAAUUGACCGAUUGAACUUGGGGAACUUACCCGGAGAAAAGACUUCCUCAGUUUCUGUUUUUAUAAUGCUCAAAGUCAGGAGUGGCCCAUGAGAUGCCUUCUAGAUAUUGUUUGGGACUAAGUUCCUAUAAAUCCCAACCAUUGGUCAUGCUGACUGAGGCUGAUGAGAGUUGGAGUCCAGCAACAUCUGGAGGGCUCCAUGUUGACUAUCCUUGCUCUAGACAUUGGGUGCCAGGGGAUGUUUCACUCCUAGGGCUUGUAGUGGCUUGGGGGAGGAUAUUUUUUCAGGAUCUGGUGUAUGGGUUAAAGAGGUUUUUUUAAUUAAACCUCCUCAUAGACUGGUCCUGAUGCAGCUCCCCUAGCCUCACUUGUAGUUUAGUCCUCAGUUCCUGUAAUGACCAUUCAAAGAGCAAGGGCUGUAAGCUGUGAGACUGCAUUCCUAUCCACACACAGGAUUUCUGGGUAGAUGUGCAGAGGAUCGUACUGCCAGUACAGUGGUACCUCGGGUUAAGAACUUAAUUCAUUCCGGAAGUCCGUUCUUAACCUGAAGCUCUUCCUAACCUGAGGCACCACUUUACUUAAUGGGGCCUUCUGCUGCUGCCGCGCCACCGGAGCACAAUUUCUGUUCUCAUCCUGAAGCAAAGUUCUUAACCCGAGGUACUAUUUCUGGGUUAGUGGAGUCUGUAACCUGAAGCAUCUGAACCCAAGGUAUCACUGUAUUGGUUUUCACUUUGCAGUUGUAAUUGACACAAGGACUUCUGCUUCUUAACUGUGGAGGCUACCUGGUACCCAACCAAUAUGUUUGUGAUGUCUAGGAAAUGUGUUUUACCCUGUCCUUACCCUUGUUGAGAUUUUCAUCCAGAAUAACUUUGAGAAAAUGUCUUUCCCUCUCAUUUUUAAAAAAGUGAAAGCUGAUUUUAAAUAUGUUUGAAAGCUGUUCAGGGUUUGGGGGAUGAUAGGGCGGGGGGAACCCCCGUGGUGAUGGCUUGCAUGCAAAAGUCAAGAAAUUUAAAAUGUCAGAUUGCUCUGUAAAUGUGCCUCCAACCACACUGUACAUCUGUAUAUUCUCAAUUCUUGUUUCCCACAGAAAAAUAUGAAUGGACACACUGUUGUUUAUGUGGCAGCGGUGCACCAUGAACAGGAUGUAAGAUGUAUAUUACCGAUCCUUCUGGAUUAUUUUCUCAUUCGCUUUAUUCUGAAAUUACCCUGUCUGCUUAAUUUGGAAAUUCUUGGUUUCCCCUAGGUUUUGUAGGGGUUUUUUGAGGGGCGGGGGGCUUGAUUGAGACAUCUGUUUGUGAGUUCAGUGCUUUAUCUUUUGUUUCUCGAGCAACAUUUUGAACUUUCAUAUAAUCUUAAAUAUUCUGUUUUAGUGUAUGAGCCAUUAAAAGCUUCUUGCAUUUAUGGAGUGCCAUCUACUUCAUGCAUGACUCUGUGUAGCCUUUAAUGUGUAAUGUGUACCUUUCUAUAUUUAAAGUGUUCUCUGUUAACAAACCAUGAAAUGUCAGCAGGCUUAUGGCUAUGCUUUUGGAUAUGAGAACAGUAGUGAAUAUUUUAAACACCUUUAUGAAAUUUCAUGGCUGCGUGAACAACAGUUUACCCAUCUGGAUAUUUGUAUGUGUCACUUUGUAUCAAUGUCAGUGAUUGUGCAUACUGUACUUACAGUGGACACACAAUUCUGGGGGAAUGAGGCUCCCAUAGCAGCUUAUGGAAAGAGCCAGGUGUGCAUACACUGCAUGAUCAUAGCCUUUGGGACAAUGGCCAGGAUUUACACAAGCAUACUGUUCAUUUUUGCUUAUUGCCAUAGAGGAGAGAAUCCUGCUCUUUACUGAUGAUUCCUAGCACAGUAUGAUUUCUCAGGUGAGCAAGAAAAAGUUGGAGGAUGCAUGCAUGCAAGGCAGCGGUAAGCACAACUGUGCUGCAGAAAGCCACAUGCAGUCUUAUUUCACAUAUUACGUGUUAAUUUUGUACCCCACACCAUUUGUUUAUUUAGUAGAUUUGUAUACCACCUUUCAUACACGAUGGAACUCACCACUUCUCAAGUACAGUGGUACCUCCGUUUAAGAACAGACUUGUUUACGAACUAUUUGGUUCGUAGUGUACUGGUUAGCAAACUUUACCUUGGUCUACAAACGGAAGCUGAAUGGUGGAAGGGCACCGGCGGUGGGAGGCCUCAUUAGGGAAAGUACACCUUGGUUUAAGAACGGCUUUGGUUUAAGAACAGACUUCCGGAACGGAUUAAGUUUGUAAACCAAGGUACCACUAUAUCUGUCAUCUAGGCACUGGCCAGACCUCCAUUUAUAUAUAGCUGCAGCAGGUGGCUGAAUCAUGUGCCUCAGACCAUGCCUGGGGACCAGCACAAGUAUUCCCAGUGCAGGUCACCAUUGGAGAAAGAAAAAAGUACAAUAAAUUCAAUCACAUACAAUCAGUAAAACAGCAGAGCAAAGCAACAGGUAAAUCAUAGUGAAUAAAGCACAACAGAUCUUUCUUAGGCUACAGUAGGAGGCAGUGAUAAGCUCUGUGUGUGUGUGUGUGUGUGUGUGUGUGUGUGUAAGCCUUGGGUUUGUACAUUGUCAUCUCUACUUUCUUCUGAUAUGGCAGCAAGGUGAUCUGAAGCCUCACAGUUAACCACAGUUUAGUCUUACAUUAGUCUAAGUGUUCUAAACGCCUCUUUCCAACCCUACUGGAAUGGGGAGUAUGCAUGCCCAAGGCUUGCCUCGACUCAUCUUUGUGGCAAUGAGUAAUUGUUUAUCAUAGACUCCUAGAACUGUAAAGCUGGAAGGGACCCCAAGAGUCAUUUGUGUCCUCUUCUGGUCUGACAAAGAAGCCCAAGGGGCAAGGCAGAUUGCAGCAGCCCUGUGGCACCAUUGAGAGCUGAUGCAGCAACUUGCUCCAGCAAAGUCUCCUAGACUCCGCCCUCUUUGUGAUAACUACAGUUCUUAAAGGGCCAACUUUUGGGCAUGCAGACAGGCAUUUCUUCUGAGCUCGCUGGCCUCCUACUUUGUGUGUAACCUGUACUGUUGGACCAGUUCCUCAGGCUCUGGGAAAGACAUUUCUGAAGGUCCCAGAUCUGGCACUAUGAACCUUGGUGUUAUUGGAUCUGGUCCAGAGUGCUCCUACCUUGACAGCUUUGGCUUUACUGGCUUCCUAGCCAGCAACUUAGAGUCAGGAACCCAGUGUGACUUCUUAGCUGGUGACUCUGCAGCCUCUGAUUCAGUGUCUUAGCCUAGGACCAAAAUGAUGGCCCUCCCUAGGGAGAACAUUCCAAAAACAGGGUGCCACAUCUGUGAAGGCUUCUCCCCAAUUGCCACCUGCCUUAUGUUGGAUAGUGAGGACAGCUCAGAUGGCUAUUUUGGCAGUCAAAAAUGUAGAUUCUGCAUUAUAGAAUGAACACAUAUGGAGGGGCAAUGGGAUUAUGAUACUAGGCUCUACACCCCCCCCCAUGCACUUUCGUUAUAAUGUAGAGUGACCUGUGCAUGGUAUGGAGUCUAUUACCACAAUGCCACCACUCACCUGUGGUGUUUAUUCCACACAAAAGGGGGCUCAGAUGCAGAUGAUCAACUAACAGAUUCUAUUGCUAUGAAAACCUCCACCUUGUCCCAUAAGCAAGGUCUGGCAAGAAGUUUCUGCAAAGCAUUUUCAAGGGCAGGUUUCUUGCAUACCACUUAAGAGGCUUUAUCACAAUCGAGUGGUGUGUAAAUUUUGUAUUUAUUUAUUUAACAAAGAGUUGUCUACAACUAACAUUUACUCAGAGGAGACCCAUUGAAAUUAAUGGGCUUAAGUUCAUCACAGUCAUUAAUUUUAAUGGUUCCACUCUGAGCAAAAGUUAUUUGAGUACAACCCAAAAGUGUUUAUUAUAGGCAUAACAAACAUUUUUGAAAUCUAAUAUAACAAGCUUCUUUUGAAAUGUCAAAUUAUUUUCUGUCGAUGAAAAUCUGUCUCCUGAAAGGAUACCAUCAUAACAGACUCAAAUACAACACUGCAGGUUUGAAAUUUGAAGAGACACAUACACACAUAUCCCAAAUUAAAAAUUUGAGACAUGCCUCAUGCUUUUCCACCUGAAAAGAUUUAUUUUUAGGGUAGGAUAGAAUAAGAAUUAUUCUACCCUUGUUGGAGUCCAGUUCCUGUGGUUUGGAUGCUAGUCCCCUUUCUAAGCCUGAAUGAAAAGGCAAGCCCAAAGCAGACACCCAACACGCAACUUCCUCUGAGGACACAGCACUUUGUUAAUUCUCACCACCAGGAAUGUUGGUUAAUCCAAUCACAUAUCAUGCAGUGUCAUGGCUGUAGUCCAUGCCUCUCCAGCAAAAGUUAAUUGGAAGAAGGCAAGCAAGUCAUGCAGAGUUGCAGCAAACAUGCCCCUCACUGGCUCAGAGGCAGUUUUGGGAUGGUAUGAUCAGUGUGGUUGCACUGGGUUGCCACGCUGCAGAAGACACCAAAACAAUGCUUUAGAAUGAAGCACACAAGACGGGAGGUGCAAAACACACAGGGUGCUACUGUAAUUUUAGAGCCCAAAGGCAGCCACUGAGUGGCUGGAUGCUUUGAGGCUUAUGUUUGUCUCACUUAGAAUCACAGAGCUGGAAGGUGCCUCUGGCUGAUACAAGAAAUCUGCUGUUACAGCAUCCCUGACAAGUGGUUGGCUAGUUUCUGCUUAAAAGCCUCUAACAAAGGAGAGGCCACCAUCUUAUAUGGCAGGCAGUCUCUUCCACCAUUGAACAGCUUGUUAUCAUCGAUAGUUUAUUCCUAAUGUUUACUAGAAACCCACUUUCCUGUAAUUUGAAGCCUUUGGUUCAGGUCUUAAGCUCUACAACAACAGAAAACAUUUUCCCCACCAUCGCCUUCAAGGCUGUCCCAUUGCCUCUUAAUGGUCUCUUCCUUCAGGCAAAACAUAAUGAAUUCCUUCAAUCUUUACUCAUAGGACUUUGUCUCCAGGCCUUUCUUCUGGACGAGUUCCAGAUUGUCAACAUAACUUUCCUACACUGCAGUGCCUAGAACUAGACACAACACUCCAGGUAAGGUCUGACCAAAACAGAAUAGAGUGGCACAAUUUCUUCUUGUCAUCUGGACACUCGACUAUGUAUGAAGCUGGCUUAACACUGAGUUAAAUUAUUGGUCCAUCUAGGCGAGUUCUGUCUGCUCUGACUAAUAGCAGUGGCUGUCCAAAGUCUCAAGAUGUAUUUCCCAUUAUCUGCUACCCAUUCCUUUUUAAGUAUAUGCCAGGGAUUUAACUUGAAACCUACUGCAUGGAAAGCAUGCUCUGAACGAUGUUCCUUCUGUCUCUGAAUCUAUGGUGAUGGCUCCUUUCAAAAACUCAUUGACAAAAGCCAUGGGUGUUUCAAACGAAGCUUGUUUUGCAAGGGCUGAACUAUGACCUUUCCUGGCGCACAAUUUGGGAAUUGCUGGCUCAGACCAGGGGUCUGGUGUGUUGCUUGCUGGAACAAAAUUAUUACUUACUGUGAGGACUGAGUAAUGUAACUUCAAGACUGAUAUAAAUGGGAAAGCUCUUGAACUGAUGAUUGACUGAAGAGUGGGGACGAGAAAUGCUGAGCUUUAAGAAUGAGUCAAAAGCGGUGGACUCCUGAGAGGGUUAUAUUUCCUUCAAGAGGUGCAUUUCAGAAGCGUCAUUUUCUCCUUCCCAUUUUUCACAGAAUAACAAAUGCUCUUUGAGGAUCCGAUAUAUGUCCCCUGCAAAAUGAAAUAUGACCCAUAUGCAAAAAUCUAGCAUUUACUAAGAUUUGUAAAGCUCUGUGCAGAAUACUUAUGGCCGUGAAUAUAUCAUACUGAUCACAGGGCUGCUUGGAGCUGCUGUUGGGGUUUUUUUCCUUUGAUCUGUGAUGGAUACAUAUAAUACUGGCCUUCUGCAAAACUGCUUCAGUCAGUAUCUUACCAGACAUGCCACAACCUUUGCAAAAACAAACUCACAAGGCAAGACCCAGACUUUGCCAGGAUCUUCGCAGAGUCCUACAGUGGUGCCAAUGACUCAGCAGAUGUCUUCCUUUCUUCUCCUCCACUGUUUUGAUCUAGUGCUGCUGGGCUGCUUGAGGCUUUUCAGCUAAGACAUAAAACGAAGUCAGUUUUAGUUACAGUUAUUAAAAUUACUUCAUGUUUCUGCGGGUAAUGAAAAGUUAAACUAGUAAUUGAGACCUAGGAUGGAAUGCAUGUUCUUUCAUAAGGUCCCCCCCCC